CCUACGGGCGGCUGCAGUAGGGAAUCUUCCACAAUGGACGAAAGUCUGAUGGAGCAACGCCGCGUGUGUGAUGAAGGGUUUCGGCUCGUAAAACACUGUUGUAAGAGAAGAAUGACAUUGAGAGUAACUGGUCAGUGUGUGACGGUAUCUUACCAGAAAGGAACGGCUAAAUACGUGCCAGCAGCCGCGGGAGUACGGAUGGUCCAGGCGGUUGCCGGAUUUAUUGGGGGUAAAGGGGGGGCAGGCGGUUGUUAAAGGCCGAAGUGAAAACCCGGAGGUUAACUGUGGAAGUGCUUUGGAAACUGGAUAACUUGAGUGCAGUAGAGGAGAGUGGAAUUCCAUGUGUAGCGGUGAAAUGCGUAGAUAUAUGGAAGAACACCAGUGGCGAAGGCGGCUCUCUGGACUGUAACUGACGUUGAGGCUCGAAAGUGUGGGUAGCAAACAGGAUUAGAUACCCGUGUAGUC
rnacentral:rRNA from 1 species